CUUGGCUAAUGUGUCUCGGCUAAGGUGUCUGGGCUAAGGUGUCUUGGCUAAGGUGUCUUGGCUAAGGUGUCUUGGCUAAGGUGUCUUGGCUAAUGUGUCUCGGCUAAGGUGUCUUGGCUAAUGUGUCUCGGCGAAGGUGUCUUGGCUAAUGUGUCUUGGCUAAGGUGUCUUGGCUAAGGUGUCUUGGCUAAUGUGUCUCGGCUAAGGUGUCUUGGCUAAUGUGUCUUGGCUAAGGUGUCUUGGCUAAGGUGUCUUGGCUAAGGUGUCUUGGCUAAGGUGUCUUGGCUAAGGUGUCUUGGCUAAGGUGUCUUGGCUAAGGUGUCUUGGCUAAGGUGUAUUGGCUAAUGUGUCUUGGCUAAUGUGUUUUGGCUAAGGUGUCUUGGCUAAUGUGUCUCGGCUAAGGUGUCUUGGCUAAGGUGUCUUGGCUAAGGUGUCUUGGCUAAUGUGUCUUGGCUAAGGUGUCUUGGCUAAGGUGUCUUGGCUAAGGUGUCUUGGCUAAGGUGUCUUGGCUAAGGUGUCUUGGCUAAGGUGUCUUGGCUAAGGUGUCUUGGCUAAGGUGUCUUGGCUAAUGUGUCUCGGCUAAUGUGUCUUGGCUAAGGUGUCUUGGCUAAGGUGUCUUGGCUAAGGUGUCUUGGCUAAGGUGUCUUGGCUAAUGUGUCUUGGCUAAUGUGUCUUGGCUAAGGUGUCUUGGCUAAGGUGUCUUGGCUAAUGUGUCUCGGCUAAGGUGUCUUGGCUAAUGUGUCUUGGCUAAGGUGUCUUGGCUAAGGUGUCUUGGCUAAGGUGUCUUGGCUAAGGUGUCUUGGCUAAGGUGUCUUGGCUAAUGUGUCUUGGCUAAGGUGUCUUGGCUCAUGUGUCUCGGCUAAUGUGUCUUGGCUAAGGUGUCUUGGCUAAGGUGUCUUGGCUAAGGUGUCUUGGCUAAGGUGUCUUGGCUAAUGUGUCUUGGCUAAUGUGUCUUGGCUAAGGUGUCUUGGCUAAGGUGUCUUGGCUAAUGUGUCUCGACUAAUGUGUCUUGGCUAAGGUGUCUUGGCUAAGGUGUCUUGGCUAAGGUGUCUUGGCUAAGGUGUCUUGGCUAAGGUGUCCUGGCUAAGGUGUCUUGGCUAAGGUGUCUUGGCUAAUGUGUCUUGGCUAAUGUGUCUUGGCUAAUGUGUCUUGGCUAAGGUGUCUUGGCUAAUGUGUCUCGGCUAAUGUGUCUUGGCUAAUGUGUCUUGGCUAAUGUGUCUCGGCUAAGGUGUCUUGGCUAAAGUGUCUUGGCUAAGGUGUCUUGGCUAAGGUGUCUUGGCUAAGGUGUCUUGGCUAAGGUGUCUUGGCUAAUGUGUCUUGGCUAAGGUGUCUUGGCUAAGGUGUCUUGGCUAAGGUGUCUUGGCUAAUGUGUCUUGGCUAAGGUGUCUUGGCUAAGGUGUCUUGGCUAAGGUGUCUUGGCUAAGGUGUCUUGGCUAAGGUGUCUUGGCUAAGGUGUCUUGGCUAAUGUGUCUCGGCUAAGGUGUCUUGGCUAAGGUGUCUUGGCUAAGGUGUCUUGGCUAAGGUGUCUUGGCUAAUGUGUC